UCCUAGCCCGGAUAAAAGUGGAAUCCUCUUUCUUGACAUUCAGACGAAGGAAGAAUGGCAAGAGAGAGAUAGAGCGGAUAGCCGGAAAAAGC
rnacentral:sRNA from 1 species